AUGGCGGCAUGGGUUGAAAGUCCGAAGGUGAAUGGACUUCAAACGAUCGAUUAUUUUGGCCACGUCCUCUCACGCUGGUUGAAUUUGGAUGGCUUUUAUUGACGACUUCGAGGCCGCCGAGAGACGCUGCAUUUGCGGGAGGACCAAGUGGUCGUGUUGUACUUUUAGAAUCAUGUUUGUGCUUUUCUUUUGCGUUUAUCUGGCAUUCUUGCCGCUGUACUCCACAGCCACGAGGAAUGACAAGCCAGUCAUCGGCAUCCUGGCACAGGACCUUUACACACCUGAAGACAAUCAAACUGCGUACAUUGCUGCCUCUUACGUCAAGUUCCUGGAGUCAGCAGGUGCCAGGGUGGUCCCAAUUAUGAUCAACCAGCCUGAUGAGGAGUAUAAGAGACUAUUCAACUCCAUUAAUGGUGUUCUUUACCCCGGAGGAGCGGCCAGCAUCUUCUCAUCAGGCUACCAAAGGAGUGCAAAGUUCUUUUAUGAGAUGGCCGUUGAGGCCAAUCAGAGAGGAGAUUACUUCCCCAUUUGGGGUACCUGCCUGGGCUUUGAGCAGCUGCUGUUGCUGACCGGUGGAGUUUCACUGCUGACAGAGACGGACACGAGGGAUGUGUCCUUACCGCUCAGCUUCACUAAAGAGGCCAAAGACAGCAGAAUGUUCCGAGGUUUCCCGGCUGAACUCAUGGACGCUUUGGCGUCGCAGCCUCUGACUGAGAACUCUCACCGCUGGAGUUUGGCCGUGGAGGCGUACAACACAACCCAAGCGCUGAAGACGUUUUACAAAGUUCUCUCCACAAACACAGAUGGAACAACAGAGUUUUUGUCCACAGUGGAAGCGUUCGAUUAUCCAAUUUACGGCACCCAGUGGCACCCGGAGAAGAAUGCAUUCGAGUGGAGGAAGCCGUACAUCGCUCACAGCCCCUCUGCUGUCCAGGUCACCUUCUUUAUGGCGGAGUUCUUUGUGGGUGAAGCCAGGAAGAAUUAUCACAGCUUUGCGUCAGAGGAUGCGGAGGCCCAAGCGCUCAUAUACAACUUUAGUCCGGUGAAAACCCGGAAGAAGAGUGUCUUCGAGCAAGUGUAUUACUUUUAAGCUAAAAAGAGGCUACACUUAACUAUAUGGUGUAUUGUUAAUGCAGUGUAGGAUUGACAACAAUGCAAUCUAUAUAUUUUUGAUGUACAAUUUUUAACAAAAUUUAGCAUUAAUUUCAAAGAUUACAUAACCACAUAUACAAAACAUAAGUGAAUUAUAUUUUUCAAAUGUAAAUUGUAAAGAUAUUUGUGAAAUUAAACAGUCCAAAAACAUUGAAGGCAGAGUAAGUCUUUAUUUUGUCGUAGCCACCAUUUUAUUUCAUAAUCGCCGUUCCGUAAAAAAAAACAAAAAACUGAUGCAGCUAGUGGCCUUUUUAUGAUAUUCAACUUUAAUCCCAUAAGUGUAUAGUUAGAUGUAACCGUGGAAAAAGCUGUUGAAAUGCACAAAUUUUCCUCAGAAUAAAAUAACAUUUGCACAUCACAGUACAACCAGAAAUGUAAUUGACGCUACCCAUUAAAGAACAUUCAAGAUGUCAAACUGGCGCCGCGUUUAACAUAAAGACAUGCAGUGAAACAAAAUGUGCCUUAGUAAUUUCAAUUUGUACGACAAAGGCUAUCAGUUUUAAACCAACCAUGCAGAUUCUGUACAUUUUAGCAUUGUGCUAAUUCAUAUCACAUAGCCGUUUAUCCAGUGUUGCUUUUCAAAAUAUAGUUUACAAUGUUGAAAUUCAGUUUAGAAAGGAUAUUUUUGGGAGGAUAACACAGUACAAACAAUAGAAGGUACAGCUUUUAAGAGUCUGGCGAUAGCUGCUAAUGUGCUUGCUCGUUUCCGCGUUAGCUUCAUUUAAAGAAAGUGAAUCUUGUGGGAUAUAUCCUAAGGUAAGUCAGUUUACCUUUCACUGUGCACACUUCUACAAAGUUGUAAUCCAUCUUGUACAAAUGUCUACGUUCACGUUAGCUUGAGAAGAGCUAGCCUAACCAGUUUGUGUUUAGUUGUAUUUUGGGGAGGGUGGGGGCAAAAGUAAGGCAGUAAGGUGAGUGAAACAAGUAGCCGGUUAAAGAUGCCAACACAGUGGAAACAAAACGCUUGAACAAUCUCGUGGAUGCUUGUGUGCUACUUUACAUACAUUGAACAAUUGACAAAGCACAGUCCAACACAACGUUAGAAAACAGUGAUGCUACCAACCAGGUAUGUGAUGUUUUUUUAUUUGUCAUUAUGAUACAAGUUUUAAAGGUGUUCUUUCCCUUACACAGUGUAAGUCCUGCUUUUCCACUGCUGCACAUGAAUGGAUCAGUAUAUUCCACAGCGUCACUCUUAAUCCAGGUCCUCGUCCAAGAGCCUUUCUGGUAGCCUGAAGCAUUCCUCGAAGAAGUUGACCAGUGACUGACUGAGGUGCUGCUUGGUGCCCUCGUUGUGGAUGAAGUGGCCUUCAUCUGGGUAGAUCUGAGACAACAUGAAUGAAUGAGACAGACAGACAGACAGACAGACAGACAGACAGACAGACAGACAGACAGACAGACAGACAGACAGACAGACAGACAGACAGACAGACAGACAGACAGACACCAAAAACAUACUUGUAAUGUGUAGUUGGCCUUUUCAUGGAUGAGCUGAGCAAUCAUUUUUGCAGUAUGCUGGAAAUGGACCUUCUCUGCAAGGGAGGACACACUAUCAGAAUAUAUCUUUCCAUGUACAGCAUCAACUUCUUACCGUCUGCAGUUGGAUGGAUUAUGAGAAAUUUCUUGUCGACCAACUGAGCUGCCCGGUGUGCUACAUUGGCCAUCUGGGGACAAAAAUGCAGAAACACAACAGCUGCAAUGUUUACAAUGAUGAAUGACUCAUAAUUACCAUGUAUGCCCGGGGGUCAGGCUUGGGCAUCCCCAGGUACCGCUCUGAAAAAGCCGAUGCUGAAAGACAAGCAAGUUGUGUUUGUAAGAGCUGAGGGUGGCUUGGUCGCAUAUUAACGUCCCACUGAGGUGAGUAUUACUACUUUGCAAAAUAAAAAAUGACUAACCAUAUAAUUCAAAGUCUGUGAUUGGUGAGAGGACGGCACCGCAUCGGGCUGGAGAGAGGUCGUCGCUGAGCAACAAGCUGGUGAUGUAGCCUCCAUACUCCUGAGGGACAACAGCAGUCAUUUCUACCAAAUAACAUCUGCAAUUGGGAAACUUACCUUUCCAAACGCUCCCACUCUGGUCUUGUCAAUGUAGGGCUCUUGCAAAAUAAAACUGCAACACACAUGAAUACAAAUGAAAUGUAUUGUUUUAUUCCUGUGUCACAUGCCACGUACCUGAUGGCCUCCCUCUGGUCGUGCUCCUCCAACACGCCCACCUUCUUGUAGAUGCGAUGUAGCAGGUUGGUGCCCUGGAAGCCACUGCCCCGCCCAUCACAGCGCACCACAAUGGCGCCAAAGCUGCUCACCAGUGCUAUGGUCCAGUCCAUGUGGAAGCGCUCCGACACGCUCUGGCCACCGGGGGUGCCAUCGCUGCACGUGGGCCAUUUAGGAAUGACAAUUUGUUGGUUAUAUUAGUGUGUGUUUCACACUUACACAAGCAGCAGCAGAGGGUAGUGUGACGUGUCCACAAAGCCUGCAGGUUUGAGGAUCUGCAUUGAUAAAGCUGUGGAAGGCACACAGACAUUUUACCACAAUUACUUGCAUCCUUAUGUACAGUC